rnacentral:rRNA from 1 species
UAGAGUUUGAUCAUGGCUCAGAUUGAACGCUGGCGGCAGGCCUAACACAUGCAAGUCGAGCGGAAACGACACUAACAAUCCUUCGGGUGCGUUAAUGGGCGUCGAGCGGCGGACGGGUGAGUAGUGCCUAGGAAAUUGCCUUGAUGUGGGGGAUAACCAUUGGAAACGAUGGCUAAUACCGCAUAAUGCCUACGGGCCAAAGAGGGGGAUCUUCGGACCUCUCGCGUCAAGAUAUGCCUAGGUGGGAUUAGCUAGUUGGUGAGGUAAUGGCUCACCAAGGCGACGAUCCCUAGCUGGUCUGAGAGGAUGAUCAGCCACACUGGAACUGAGACACGGUCCAGACUCCUACGGGAGGCAGCAGUGGGGAAUAUUGCACAAUGGGCGAAAGCCUGAUGCAGCCAUGCCGCGUGUAUGAAGAAGGCCUUCGGGUUGUAAAGUACUUUCAGUUGUGAGGAAGGGGGUGUAGUUAAUAGCUGCAUCUCUUGACGUUAGCAACAGAAGAAGCACCGGCUAACUCCGUGCCAGCAGCCGCGGUAAUACGGAGGGUGCGAGCGUUAAUCGGAAUUACUGGGCGUAAAGCGCAUGCAGGUGGUUCAUAAAGUCAGAUGUGAAAGCCCGGGGCUCAACCUCGGAACUGCAUUUGAAACUGGUGAACUAGAGUGCUGUAGAGGGGGGUAGAAUUUCA